CAUAAGAAGAAGCUGACAAAUCAAUGUCCUCAAAAAAUGCAUCCUUUAAUAAUUAGAGCAGUAUAGUAAAAUUCUUACCAAACUAUUCAUUCAAAUAUUUUAAAUAAAAUAGAUACAUAAGAAAAAAAAUUUUAAAAAGUUCUUACAACCUGGAUAUGGUUCUUGAUCAUAAUCUUUCAACAAAUUAUGAAAUCAAUAUUGUAUCUCAUCAUUAAAUAAAUGUCGGGGCCAUGCAACAUGCAUA
rnacentral:lncRNA from 1 species